rnacentral:rRNA from 1 species
UACGAAGAGGGCUAGCGUUGUUCGGAAUUACUGGGCGUAAAGCGUGCGCAGGCGGCUUCUCAAGUCAGGGGUGAAAGCCCAGAGCUCAACUCUGGAAUUGCCUUUGAGACUGAGUGGCUUGAGUACGAGAGAGGUGAGUGGAAUUCCCAGUGUAGAGGUGAAAUUCGUAGAUAUUGGGAAGAACACCGGUGGCGAAGGCGGCUCACUGGCUCGUAACUGACGCUCAUGCCCGCCAGCGUGGGGAUCAAACAGG